UUUCUCCUACGGGGGGCAGCAGUGGGGAAUAUUGCACAAUGGGGGAAACCCUGAUGCAGCGACGCCGCGUGAGUGAAGAAGUAUUUCGGUAUGUAAAGCUCUAUCAGCAGGGAAGAAAAUGACGGUACCUGACUAAGAAGCCCCGGCUAACUACGUGCCAGCAGCCGCAGUAAUACGUAGGGGGCAAGCGUUAUCCGGAUUUACUGGGUGUAAAGGGAGCGUAGGCGGCAUGGUAAGCCAGAAGUGAAAACCCGGGGCUCAACCCCGCGGCUUGCUUGUGGAACUAUCAGGCUG
rnacentral:rRNA from 1 species